UUAUCUAUAAUGGAAUCGACAUCGAAUCGAAAUUCGACGUCGAAAGCGUCAAAUCAAUAUCGAAUCGACGUCGAUUCGAUAUCGAUUUCAUUGUCAUUUCUCACUGGGCAUGGCGUCGUCGGUGUCAUGUGGAUCGUAAUGUUCAUACAGAUUGUGUUAUUUUUCCGUCGCCGUAUAAUACAGUUCGCGUCGCAUCGUAAGAUUAAUAUCGGGAGUGCCGUGCAAAGUAUCGCGAUCAUAACUGCUAAUAUUUUCGCGAGUGAACGUCGCAGUAAGUGAACGUCACGAAGAAGCGACAAUGGAAGGCGCAAAAGGAACCUGGGAGACAUCGGGCGACGGCGGAGCAACCGUGGGAUCGACGCAGUACUACAACUCCGCUGCUACGCAUUGAUUGGACACUUUCCGCUCUGGAAGACAAGAUCAGGAUUGCCUCCCAUUGUGGCCACAUGGAGCAAGCCCAUUUGAUUCAAGUACUUUAAUAGAGAGAAAAUGGCGCGUCGUGAACAGAAAUACCGUCUGUGAAUAGUCACGCUACU